rnacentral:rRNA from 1 species
GACGAACGCUGGCGGCGUGCUUAACACAUGCAAGUCGAACGGAAAGGCCCCUUUGGGGGUCCUCGAGUGGCGAACGGGUGAGUAACACGUGAGUAACCUGCCCUUGACUUCGGGAUAACUUCAGGAAACUGAGGCUAAUACCGGAUAGGAAUCCUUGCUGCAUGGUGGGGGUUGGAAAGCUUCGGCGGUUUUGGAUGGACUCGCGGCUUAUCAGUUUGUUGGUGGGGUAGUGGCUUACCAAGGCUUUGACGGGUAGCCGGCCUGAGAGGGCGACCGGCCACAUUGGGACUGAGAUACGGCCCAGACUCCUACGGGAGGCAGCAGUGGGGAAUAUUGCACAAUGGGCGGAAGCCUGAUGCAGCAACGCCGCGUGCGGGAUGACGGCCUUCGGGUUGUAAACCGCUUUCAGCAGGGGCGAAGCUUGUGGUGACGGUACCUGCAGAAGAAGCACCGGCUAACUACGUG